AGCCCCGUGAGUACCGCCCUACAGCAUUCUUCGCCCGAAGCACAGGAGCUGGCAUCAGGCACACCCCAGGUAGCCCAAGACGCCCCGCGCUAUGCCACACCCCCAAGGGUUAUGUACAGCAGUGAUAAACAUUUAGCAAUGAGUGCAAGCUCGACUAAAACAAGGUCUACAGGGCCGGUCAAAACUCGUGCCAGCCACCGCGGUUAUACGAGUGAGCCCAAGUUGAUAGACACUCGGCGUAAAGGGUGGUUAGGAUCAAAUUAUAAAGUGAAGCCAAAAACCAUUGUAGCCGUCAAACGCAAACAAAUGCAUGAAGCCCAUACACGAAAGUAGCUUUACAACUUCUGACACCACGAAAUUUAGGGAACAAACUGGGAUUAGAUACCCCACUAUGCCUAAACGUAAACAAUGGCGAUAUAAAACAAAUCGCCCGCCAGGGAACUACGAGCGGGAGCUUAAAACCCAAAGGACUUGGCGGUGCUUUAACCCCCCUAGAGGAGCCUGUCCUAGAACCGAUAACCCCCGUUCAACCUCACCCUUCCUAGCCCAUUCAGCCUGUAUACCGCCGUCGCCAGCCCUCCCCUUGAGGGACGAAUAGUCAGCAAACCCGGUACUACCCGAGACGUCAGGUCGAGGUGCAGCCUAUGGAAGGGAAUGAGAUGGGCUACAUUCACUUCAUAAGUGAACACGGAUGAUGCGCUGAAACACGCAUACUGAAGGUGGAUUUAGUAGUAAGUACAGAAUAGAGAGCUGUACUGAAUAUGGCUCAAAAGCACGCACACACCGCCCGUCACUCUCCCCGAAAAACCAAAAAAACAUACCUAAAUAUAUACCGAAGACCCGAAGGGGAGACAAGUCGUAACAAGGUAAGUGUACUGGAAAGUGCACUUGGAACAACCA
rnacentral:ncRNA from 1 species